UACGGAGGGGGCGAGCGUUGAUCGGAAUAACUGGGCGUAAAGGGCACGCAGGCGGCUUUUUAAGUCAGAUGUGAAAUCCCCGGGCUUAACCUCGGAAUUGCAUUUCAGACUGGGAGGCUAGAGUACUUUAGGGGGGGGUAGAAUUCCACGUGUAGCGGUGAAAUGCGUAGAGAUGUGGAGGAAUACCGGAGGCGAAGGCGGC
rnacentral:rRNA from 1 species